GUGCUAAUUUCAGCAGCACAUAUACUAAAAUUGGAAUGAUGCAGAGAAGAUCAGCAUGUCCCCUGCAUAAGGAUGACAUGCAAUUUCAUGAAGUGUUUCAUAUUUUA
ensembl:snRNA U6 U6 spliceosomal RNA